rnacentral:tRNA from 1 species
CUUUUGCGUGGUAAGGCCGGACAGGAGCGUUAAAAUCGUGCCGCCGGCAUGGGCGCCCAGGACCAGCGGUACAACCGCCGCAAAGGGC